rnacentral:rRNA from 1 species
UACGGAGGGGGCUAGCGUUAUUCGGAAUUAUUGGGCGUAAAGGGCGUGUAGGCGGCUUCGUAAGUCUUGUGUGAAAGCCCUCGGCUCAACCGAGGAAUUGCACGAGAAACUGCGUGGCUCGAGUCCGGGAGAGGAUAGUGGAAUUCCCAGUGUAGCGGUGAAAUGCGUAGAUAUUGGGAAGAACACCCGGUGGCGAAGGCGGCUAUCUGGACCGGUAACUGACGCUGAGACGC